UACACACCGCCCGUCACACCAUGGGAGCGGGCUUCACCAGAAGUAGCUAGUCUAACCGCAAGGAGGACGGUUACCACGGUGAGAUUCGUGACUGGGGUG
rnacentral:rRNA from 1 species